rnacentral:rRNA from 1 species
AGCAGCCGCGGUAAUUCCAGCUCCAAUAGCGUAUAUUAAAGUUGUUGCAGUUAAAAAGCUCGUAGUUGAAUUUCGGGAUCAGUACGCCGGUCGUGCCUCCGGUAUGUACUGGUGUUACUGGUUCCUACCUUCUGACGAACCGUCAUGUCAUUAAUUUGGUGUGGCGGGGAAUCAGGACUGUUACUUUGAAAAAAUUAGAGUGUUUAAAGCAGGCUCGCGCUUGAAUACAUUAGCAUGGAAUAAUGAAAUAGGACGUUCGAUCCUAUUUUGUUGGUUUCUAGGAUUGACGUAAUGAUUAAUAGGGAUAGUUGGGGGCAUUAGUAUUCAAUUGUCAGAGGUGAAAUUCUUGGAUUUAUUGAAGACUAACUACUGCGAAAGCAUUUGCCAAGGAUGUUUUCAUUAAUCAAGAACGAAAGUUAGGGGAUCGAAGACGAUCAGAUACCGUCGUAG